CACGUAGGGCGCAAGCGUUGUCCGGAAUUAUUGGGCGUAAAGAGCUCGUAGGCGGUCUGUUGCGUCCGCUGUGAAAACCCGGGGCUUAACCCUGGGCUGGCAGUGGAUACGGACAGACUAGAGGUAGGUAGGGGAGAAUGGAAUUCCCGGUGUAGCGGUGAAAUGCGCAGAUAUCGGGAGGAACACCGGUGGCGAAGGCGGCAUCCUGGACCGACAUUGACGCUGAGGAGCGAAAGCUAGGGGAGCAAACGGG
rnacentral:rRNA from 1 species